GAAUAUUGGACAAUGGGCGCAAGCCUGAUCCAGCAACGCCGCGUGGAGGAUGAAGGUCUUCGGAUCGUAAACUCCUGUCAGGUGGGACGAAGGAAUCGGGGUAAACAAUCCCGGUUCUUGACGGUACCGCCAGAGGAAGCCCCGGCUAACUCCGUGCCAGCAGCCGCGGUAAUACGGAGGGGGCGAGCGUUAUUCGGAAUUAUUGGGCGUAAAGGGCGCGUAGGCGGCUUGGCAAGUCAAAGGUGAAAUCCCUCGGCUCAACUGAGGAACUGCCUUUGAAACUGCUUAGCUUGAGGCCGGGAGGGGGUAGCGGAAUUCCCAGUGUAGCGGUGAAAUGCGUAGAUACUGGGAGGAACACCAGUGGCGAAGGCGGCUACCUGGACCGGAUCUGACGCUGAUGCGCGAAAGCGUGGGUAGCAAACAGG
rnacentral:rRNA from 1 species